rnacentral:rRNA from 1 species
CCUACGGGCGGCAGCAGUGAGGAAUAUUGGUCAAUGGGCUUACGCCUGAACCAGCCAAGUCGCGUGAGGGAAGACUGCCCUAUGGGUUGUAAACCUCUUUUGUCAGGGAGCAACGCCGGCUACGUGUAGCCGGACUGAGAGUACCUGAAGAAAAAGCAUCGGCUAACUCCGUGCCAGCAGCCGCGGUAAUACGGAGGAUGCGAGCGUUAUCCGGAUUUAUUGGGUUUAAAGGGUGCGUAGGCGGACUGGAAAGUCAGCGGUAAAAUCGAGAGGCUCAACCUCUUUCCGCCGUUGAAACUGUCGGUCUUGAGUGGGCGAGAAGUAUGCGGAAUGCGUGGUGUAGCGGUGAAAUGCAUAGAUAUCACGCAGAACUCCGAUUGUGAAGGCAGCAUACCGGCGCCCGACUGACGCUGAGGCACGAAAGCGUGGGUAUCGAACAGGAUUAGAUACCCGGGUAGUC